GACAGCAGUCGCCACGGGAAUACGUAGGGUGCAAGCGUUAAUCGGAAUUACUGGGCGUAAAGCGUGCGCAGGCGGUUAUAUAAGACAGAUGUGAAAUCCCCGGGCUCAACCUGGGAACUGCAUUUGUGACUGUAUAGCUAGAGUACGGCAGAGGGGGAUGGAAUUCCGCGUGUAGCAGUGAAAUGCGUAGAUAUGCGGAGGAACACCGAUGGCGAAGGCAAUCCCCUGGGCCUGUACUGACGCUCAUGCACGAAAGCGUGGGGAGCAAACAGGAUUAGAUACCCGGGUAGUCCCUGUCUCUUAUAC
rnacentral:rRNA from 1 species